rnacentral:lncRNA from 1 species
ACUCAAAGUUAAACUGUCAACCCUGAUUAAAUCAUCCGAGUCGUGCUCAACUCUAUCAGUCCUGUGACUCCUCACUAGGACUACCCUGGCCAAGAUUUUGCUAAAUUGAAACAUGACUGUACAUAGCUCCUGAACUGGAGUGGUCAAUCCCAUCUUGACACACGCACCGACAAGUCAAGUACUUGACUACACCCAGCAGCCUUCCGUCACCGAAUUAGAAAUUCAGGUAGUCCAGUGCCUAAGUGCAGUGAGUUGCUUGCAAG